rnacentral:rRNA from 1 species
CCUACGGGAGGCAGCAGUGGGGGAUAUUGCACAAUGGGGGAAACCCUGAUGCAGCGACGCCGCGUGUGGGAAGACGGUCCUCUGGAUUGUAAACCACUGUCCCCAGGGACGAAGAUGACGGUACCUGGGGAGGAACCUCCGGCUAACUACGUGCCAGCAGCAGCGGUAAUACGAAGGGAGCGAGCGUUGUCCGGAAUUACUGGGUGUAAGGGGAGGGUAGGCGGGACUGCAAGUUGGGUGUCAAAUCUACCGGCUCAACCGGUAGCCGCACUCAAAACUGCAGUUCUUGAGUGAAGUAGAGGCAGGCGGAAUUCCUAGUGUAGCGGUGAAAUGCGUAGAUAUUAGGAGGAACACCAGUGGCGAAGGCGGCCUGCUGGGCUUUUACUGACGCUGAGGCUCGAAAGUGUGGGGAGCAAACAGGAUUAGAUACCCUUGUAGUC